AUUGAACGCUAGCGGGAUGCCUUACACAUGCAAGUCGAACGGAGUGGCGCACGGGUGAGUAAUGUAUCGGAACGUGCCCAGUAGCGGGGGAUAACUACGCGCAAGCGUAGCUAAUACCGCAUACUAUUGGCUCGGCCGAUAUCGGAUUAGCUCGUUGGUGGGGUAACGGCUCACCAAGGCGACGAUCCGUAGCUGGUUUGAGAGGACGACCAGCCACACUGGGACUGAGACACGGCCCAGAAUCCUACGGGAGGCAGCAGUGGGGAAUGUUGGACAAUGGGGGAAACCCUGAUACAGCAAUACCGCGUGUGCGAUGAAGGCCUGCGGGUUGUAAAGCACUUUUGGCAGGAAAGCGGUAACUGAAGAAUAAGCACCGGAUAACUACGUGCCAGCAGCCGCGGUAAUAC
rnacentral:rRNA from 1 species